AUUGAACGCUGGCGGCAGGCCUAACACAUGCAAGUCGAGCGAGCGGCGGGCGGGUGAGUAAUGCCUGAGACUUGCCCAGUCGAGGGAGAUAACCGUUGGAAACGAAUGCUUAUAACACAUACUAUUGUAUUGCCGAGGUGGGAUUAGCUAGUGGGUGAGGUAAUGGCUCACCAAGGCGACGAUCCCUAGCUGGUCUGAGAGGAUGAUCAGCCACACUGGAACUGAGACACGGUCCAGACUCCUACGUGAGGCAGCAGUGGGGAAUAUUGCACAAUGGGGGAAACCCUGAUACAGCCAUGCCGCGUGUGUGAAGAAGGCCUGCGGGUUGUAAAGCACUUUCAGCGAGGAGGCGUUACUCGCAGAAGAAGCACCGGCUAACUCCGUGCCAGCAGCCGCGGUAAUAC
rnacentral:rRNA from 1 species